GAUUAACGCUGGCGGCGUGCAUAACACAUGCAAGUCGAACGAUGAAACUUAGUAGACUUCUUCGGAAAUACACUAAGCGGAUUAGUGGCGAACGGGUGAGUAACGCGUGAGUAACCUGCCUUACACAAGGGGAUAGCCUUUGGAAACGAAGAAUAAUACCCUAUAAAACCAUAAAAGCACAUGCUAGAAUGGUCAAAGUGAUAGCGGUGUAAGAUGGACUUGCGUCUGAUUAGCUAGUUGGUGAGAUAAAAGCUCACCAAGGCAACGAUCAGUAGCCGGCUUGAGAGAGUGUACGGCCACAUUGGGACUGAGACACGGCCCAGACUCCUACGGGAGGCAGCAGUGGGGAAUUUUGCACAAUGGGGGAAACCCUGAUGCAGCGACGCCGCGUGAUUUAGAAGGCCUUCGGGUUGUAAAAAUCUUUUGUAUAGGAAGAAAAUGACAGUACUAUACGAAUAAGGUCCGGCUAAUUACGUG
rnacentral:rRNA from 1 species